UAAAUUGGAGGCUGAAAAGAGCGAAAAGGGUAAAACAAGCAAAAUGGCAUUUUUGUAGAUUUUUCUGAAAUCUGGCACCGCCUCUAGUUCGGCGACAAUGAAGCAAGGGGCAGAAAGGCAGUAGCUAACCUAAGCAAGCAGUGUCCCCUCGCCCAUCUAAGUGCUGUGGCACCCGUAUCAGCAAGCCCAACGUUGCAGUGCUGCAAACUUUUAAGCCCGUCAGAGGCGCGUACACGCGUUUUCCCCGUUCCAAUCGACGACUUAAGUGGCUUUUUUAAGCCAUUUUCUUCUGGUAGCGACCAAGGGCCAAACAUUGGUUGAACUCUCGUCAUCAAUUGUAGAUCUCCAUUAUUUUUUGUAUGUAUAUAAUCAUCUUUUGUAUUGCAUCUUGGAGAGAUUAAAUGUAGAAAGAGAGCGCUAAGGACUCGUGUUUAAGAAAUCCUUCAUUGGACUGUAAUCUUUUGUAUGUGAUAUUUAGUUUGAAUCUUAACCCUACUUGAAACUCUGAAAUUGUCUGGA